rnacentral:rRNA from 1 species
GACGAACGCUGGCGGCGUGCUUAACACAUGCAAGUCGAACGGAGCGAAUGAAAGCUUGCUUUUAUGAGCUUAGUGGCAAACGGGUGAGUAACACGUAGACAACCUGCCGACAGGAUGGGGACAACAUUCCGAAAGGAAUGCUAAUACCGAAUGAAGCGGAGGAGAGGCAUCUCUCCUCCGUGAAAGAUGGCCUCUGAACAUGCUAUCACCUGUCGAUGGGUCUGCGUCUGAUUAGCUGGUUGGUGAGGUAACGGCUCACCAAGGCGACGAUCAGUAGCCGGUCUGAGAGGAUGAACGGCCACAUUGGGAUGAGACACGGCCCAGACUCCUACGGGAGGCAGCAGUGGGGAAUCUUCCGCAAUGGGCGCAAGCCUGACGGAGCAACGCCGCGUGAGUGAAGAAGGUCUUCGGAUCGUAAAGCUCUGUUGACGGGGACGAACGUGCGAAGGGUGAAUAAUCCUUUGCAAAGACGGACCCGUCGAAGAGCC